rnacentral:rRNA from 1 species
AGACGUCUACAUUAGAUACCCGCGUAGUCCCAGCCGUAAACUAUGCGCGUUAGGUGUAUCGGUGACCACGAGUCACCGAGGUGCCGAAGGGAAACCGUGAAACGUGCCGCCUGGGAAGUACGGUCGCAAGGCUGAAACUUAAAGGAAUUGACGGGGAGCACCACAACGGGUGGAGCCUGCGGUUUAAUUGGACUCAACGCCGGGAAGCUCACCGGAUAAGACAGCGGAAUGAUUGCCGGGCUGAAGACUCUGCAUGACUAGCUG